GACGAACGCUGGCGGCGUGCUUAACACAUGCAAGUCGAACGGAAAGGCCCUGCUUUUGUGGGGUGCUCGCGUGGCGAACGGGUGAGUAACACGUGAGUAACCUGCCCUUGACUUUGGGAUAACUUCAGGAAACUGGGGCUAAUACCGGAUAGGAGCUCCUGCUGCAUGGUGGGGGUUGGAAAGUUUCGGCGGUUGGGGAUGGACUCUCGGCUUAUCAGCUUGUUGGUGGGGUAGUGGCUUACCAAGGCUUUGACGGGUAGCCGGCCUGAGAGGGUGACCGGCCACAUUGGGACUGAGAUACGGCCCAGACUCCUACGGGAGGCAGCAGUGGGGAAUAUUGCACAAUGGGCGGAAGCCUGAUGCAGCAACGCCGCGUGCGGGAUGACGGCCUUCGGGUUGUAAACCGCUUUCGCCUGUGACGAAGCGUGAGUGACGGUAAUGGGUAAAGAAGCACCGGCUAACUACGUG
rnacentral:rRNA from 1 species